rnacentral:rRNA from 1 species
AAAUUGAAGAGUUUGAUCAUGGCUCAGAUUGAACGCUGGCGGCAGGCCUAACACAUGCAAGUCGAGCGGAAACGAGUUAUCUGAACCUUCGGGGAACGAUAACGGCGUCGAGCGGCGGACGGGUGAGUAAUGCCUAGGAAAUUGCCCUGAUGUGGGGGAUAACCAUUGGAAACGAUGGCUAAUACCGCAUGAUGCCUACGGGCCAAAGAGGGGGACCUUCGGGCCUCUCGCGUCAGGAUAUGCCUAGGUGGGAUUAGCUAGUUGGUGAGGUAAGGGCUCACCAAGGCGACGAUCCCUAGCUGGUCUGAGAGGAUGAUCAGCCACACUGGAACUGAGACACGGUCCAGACUCCUACGGGAGGCAGCAGUGGGGAAUAUUGCACAAUGGGCGCAAGCCUGAUGCAGCCAUGCCGCGUGUGUGAAGAAGGCCUUCGGGUUGUAAAGCACUUUCAGUCGUGAGGAAGGCGGAUGCGUUAAUAGCGUAUGGAUUUGACGUUACCUACAGAAGAAGCACCGGCUAACUCCGUGCCAGCAGCCGCGGUAAUACGGAGGGUGCGAGCGUUAAUCGGAAUUACUGGGCGUAAAGCGCAUGCAGGUGGUUUGUUAAGUCAGAUG